rnacentral:rRNA from 1 species
AUUGAACGCUGGCGGCAUGCCUUACACAUGCAAGUCGAACGGUAACGGGCCUUCGGGUGCCGACGAGUGGCGAACGGGUGAGUAAUGCAUCGGAACGUACCUUUCAGUGGGGGAUAACGUAGCGAAAGUUACGCUAAUACCGCAUACUCUGUGAGCAGGAAGGCAGGGGAUCGCAAGACCUUGUGCUGAUUGAGCGGCCGAUGUCAGAUUAGCUAGUUGGUGAGGUAAAGGCUCACCAAGGCGACGAUCUGUAGCGGGGCUGAGAGGAUGAUCCGCCACACUGGAACGUAGACACGGUCCAGACUCCGACGGGAGGCAGCAGUGGGGAAUUUUGGACAAUGGGGGCAACCCUGAUCCAGCCAUGCCGCGUGAGUGAAGAAGGCCUUCGGGUUGUAAAGCUCUUUCGGCCGGGAAGAAAUCGUAUGGGCUAAUACCCUGUGCGGAUGACGGUACCGGCAUAAGAAGCACCGGCUAACUACGUGCCAGCCGCCGCGGUAAAAC